GAAAAAUGCCACAAGCUCUGGCAACUCCUGAUACUGGUGAAUUCUCAAAUAAUCAAACCAAUGGAGAUCAGGAUAAAAUGGAAUCAGAUGUGGUUGUUUUCCCCAAAAGAUCUAUUUCCCUCCCACACGAGCAGGCUUCUCCAUCGAAGGCAACACCUAUCUUUGCUCGUGCCAAUUCAUUUCAGCCCGACAACCAGGCAUGUCAUGUGCAUCCCAAACUACCAGAUUAUGAUGAUUUGACUGCCAGAUUUGCUUCUCUAAGAGGCUGAUAAAUUUUAUAAUAGAUUAAACUUGACGAGUGUUUGCUCCAGUGUGUGUUACCUCUUCACAUUCAUUU
rnacentral:misc_RNA from 1 species